UUCAAGUUUUGUUUCCAUAUGUGGAGGGAA
rnacentral:piRNA from 1 species